rnacentral:rRNA from 1 species
UGAGUAACACGUAUGCAACCUGCCUGCCACAGCCGGAUAAUCGGGAGAAAUUCCGUCUAAUACGGCAUAAUGCAUCGACGGGACAUCCUGUUGGUGCCAAAGGUUGAUUCCGGUGGCGGAUGGGCAUGCGUCGCAUUAGUUAGUUGGCGGUGUAACGGACCACCAAGACGACGAUGCGUGGGGGUUCUGAGAGGAAGGUCCCCCACACUGGUACUGAGACACGGACCAGACUCCUACGGGAGGCAGCAG